rnacentral:rRNA from 1 species
UACGUAGGGUGCGAGCGUUAAUCGGAAUUACUGGGCGUAAAGCGUGCGUAGGCGGCUAUGUAAGACAGAUGUGAAAUCCCUGGGCUUAACCUAGGAACUGCAUUUGUGACUGCAUUGCUGGAGUGCGGGAGAGGAGAGUGGAAUUCCUGGUGUAGCGGUGAAAUGCGUAGAUAUCAGGAGGAACACCGGUGGUGUAGACGGCUCUCUGGACCGUAACUGACGCUGAGGCACGAAAGCGUGGGUAGCAAACAGG